AUUGAACGCUGGCGGCAGGCCUAACACAUGCAAGUCGAACGAGCGGCGGACGGGUGAGUAAUGUCUGGGAAACUGCCCGAUGGAGGGGGAUAACUCCUGGAAACGGUCGCUAAUACCGCCUACCAUCGGAUGCGCCCAGAUGGGAUUAGCUAGUAGGUGGGGUAAAGGCUCAACUAGGCGACGAUCCCUAGCUGGUCUGAGAGGUUGACCAGCCACACGGGCACUUGGACACGGGCCAAGCUCCUACGGCAGGCAGCGGUGGGGAAGAUAGCACAAGGGGCGGAAGCCUGAUGCAGCCAUGCCGCGUGUAUGGAGGAGGCCUUCGGGUUGUAAAGUACUGUCAGCGGGGAUGCGUUACCCGCAGAAGAAGCACCGGCUAACUCCGUGCCAGCAGCCGCGGUAAUAC
rnacentral:rRNA from 1 species